AUACUAUUAUUUUUAUUAUCCAUACAUGCAUAAUCAAAUAAACUCUAGCAUGAUGCAUAGGUUAUUUAUGUGUCAUUUGCUUAGUUGUUCAACUUUAAAUAUGUUACUCACAUGUUCUAAUAAAUAGAGACAAAACAUAUAAGGGAAUUAUCUCCUCCAUUAUGACUUACGAUUUUGGGUAUUACA
rnacentral:lncRNA from 7 species